AUGUCCGUGCGAGCAAUGGCACCACAUCCGAAAGAGCAAUCUUUUGCAUCCGCAUCAGCUGACAACAUUAAGAAAUUCAGUCUUCCAAAGGGAGAAUUCUUACACAAUAUGCUCUCUCAGCAGAAGAUUAUAAUUAACACCAGGGCUGUC